UUGGUUUAAAUCAUUGUGGGUCUACACUUUGGAAAUUGAACAUACACAAAAUUAUGGGACAUACAUUAAUUUCAUCAAA
rnacentral:pre_miRNA from 1 species